UAACCUGCCCAAGAGAUCGGGAUAACACCUGGAAACAGAUGCUAAUACCGGAUAACAACAGAUGAUGCCUAUCAACUGUUUAAAAGAUGGUUCUGCUAUCACUCUUGGAUGGACCUGCGGUGCAUUAGCUAGUUGGUAGGGUAACGGCCUACCAAGGCGAUGAUGCAUAGCCGAGUUGAGAGACUGAUCGGCCACAUUGGGACUGAGACACGGCCCAAACUCCUACGGGAGGCAGCCAGCC
rnacentral:rRNA from 1 species